rfam:Phytophthora infestans T30-4 supercont1.86 genomic scaffold, whole genome shotgun sequence.
UAGCUCAGUGGUCGAGCGCUGGCUUUGGAAGCCACAGGUCGGUGGUUCAAAUCCACC